rnacentral:tRNA from 1 species
ACCUAGGUGGCUCAGUUGGUUAAGCGUCUGACUUUGGCUCAGGUCACGAUAUCACGGUUCGUGAGUUCAAGUCUCACACCGGGCU